rnacentral:rRNA from 1 species
UACGGGGGGUGCGAGCGUUGUCCGGAAUCACUGGGCGUAAAGGGCGCGUAGGUGGUCUGAUAAGGGUGUGGUGAAAGCCCGGGGCUCAACCCCGGGUCGGCCGUGCCGACUGUUAGACUAGAGUACUGUAGGGGCAGGCGGAAUUCCGGGUGUAGCGGUGGAAUGCGUAGAGAUCCGGAGGAAGACCGGUGGCGAAGGCGGCCUGCUGGGCAGUUGCUGACGCUGAGGCGCGACAGGCGUGGGGGAGCAAACAGG